rnacentral:rRNA from 1 species
CAUGCAUGUCUAAGUACAAACUAUUUUAUAUAAGUGAAACCGCAAAAGGCUCAUUAUAUCAGUUAUGGUUUAUUAGAUCAUUAACAGUUACUUGGAUAACUGUGGUAAUUCUAGAGCUAAUACAUGCAAUAUAAACAUGAACCUUAUGGAACAUGUGCUCUUAUUAGGCUAAAACCAAGCGAUUUUUUUUAUAAAAUCGUUAUAAUGGUUGAACUCUAGAUAAUUUGCCAAUCGUAUGGUCUUGUACCGACAAUAGAUCUUUUAAAUGUCUGCCCUAUCAACUAUUGAUGGUAGUAUUUAGGACUACCAUGGUUGCAACGGGUAACGGGGAAUCAGGGUUCGAUUCCGGAGAGGGAGCCUGAGAAACAGCUACCACAUCUAAGGAAGGCA